UACGGAGGGUGCGAGCGUUGUUCGGAUUCACUGGGCGUAAAGGGUGCGUAGGCGGUCGGGUAAGUCUGAUGUGAAAUCUCACAGCUUAACUGUGAAACUGCAUUGGAUACUAUUCGGCUCGAGGAAUGGAGGGGAGACUGGAAUACUUGGUGUAGCAGUGAAAUGCGUAGAUAUCAAGUGGAACACCAGUGGCGAAGGCGAGUCUCUGGACAUUUCCUGACGCUGAGGCACGAAAGCCAGGGGAGCAAACGGG
rnacentral:rRNA from 1 species